rnacentral:rRNA from 1 species
AUUGAACGCUGGCGGCAUGCUUUACACAUGCAAGUCGAACGGCAGCAUGGGUGCUUGCACCUGAUGGCGAGUGGCGAACGGGUGAGUAAUGUAUCGGAACAUAUCCGCAAGUGGGGGAUAACGUAGCGAAAGUUACGCUAAUACCGCAUAUUCCCUGAGGGGGAAAGGAGGGGAUCCGCAAGGACCUUUCGCUUACGGAGUGGCCGAUAUCAGAUUAGCUAGUUGGUGGGGUAAAGGCCUACCAAGGCGACGAUCUGUAGCGGGUCUGAGAGGAUGCUCCGCCACACUGGGACUGAGACACGGCCCAGACUCCUACGGGAGGCAGCAGUGGGGAAUUUUGGACAAUGGGGGCAACCCUGAUCCAGCCAUGCCGCGUGAGUGAAGAAGGCCUUCGGGUUGUAAAGCUCUUUCAGCUGGAAAAAAAUCGCAUCACCUAAUACGUGGUGUGGAUGAUGGUACCAGCAGAAGAAGCACCGGCUAACUACGUGCCAACAGCCGCGGUAAAAC